GGUGCACGAUUAGCGUCUAUUAAUGAUCGUGUAUAUAGUUGUUACGCACAUUUUGCACGGGUAGUUCUGAUAUACCGACUGUAUAUUGGUGAUCUGAUUAUACCGAUUGUAUGUCGGUAAUUUUGAAAUAUCGAAUGACCAUCGUCAUCAAAAAAAUCGAUUGGGAGUUGCCGAUAGUCAAUCGACUUACGAUUGAUAGUUGAUGGUAUGUGCCUAU
rnacentral:lncRNA from 1 species